UACGUAGGGGGCAAGCGUUAUCCGGAUUUACUGGGUGUAAAGGGGGCGCAGACGGCGAUGCAAGCCAGGAGUGAAAGCCCGGGGCCCAACCACGGGACUGCUCUUGGAACUGCGUGGCUGGAGUGCAGGAGGGACAGGCGGAAUUCCUGGUGUAGCGGUGAAAUGCGUAGAUAUCAGGAGGAACACCGGUGGCGAAGGCGGCCUGCUGGACUGCAACUGACGUUGAGGCCCGAAAGCGUGGGGAGCAAACAGG
rnacentral:rRNA from 1 species